AAUCAACGCUGGCGGCGCGCUUAACACAUGCAAGUCGAACGAGAAAGUGGAGCAAUCCAUGAGUACAGUGGCGUACGGGUGAGUAACACGUGGGUAUCUACCUUCUGGUGGGGGAUAACCCUGGGAAACCGGGGCUAAUACCGCAUAAUCCCGUGAGGGAAAAGGAGCAAUUCGCCGGAAGAGGAGCCCGCGGCUGAUUAGCUAGUUGGUGAGGUAAUGGCUCACCAAGGCGAAGAUCGGUAGCCGGCCUGAGAGGGCACACGGCCACACUGGCACUGAAACACGGGCCAGACUCCUACAGGAGGCAGCAGUGGGGAAUCUUGCACAAUGGGGGAAACCCUGAUGCAGCGACGCCGCGUGAACGAUGAAGCCCUUCGGGGUGUAAAGUUCUUUCGGCAGGAACGAUAAUGACGGUACCUGAAGAAGAAGCUGCGGCUAACUACGUGCCAGCAGCCGCGGUAAUACGUAGGCAGCAAGCGUUGUUCGGAGUUACUGGGCGUAAAGAGUGCGUAGGCGGUCUUUUAAGUUUGGUGUGAAAUCUCCCGGCUCAACUGGGAGGGUGCGCCGAAAACUGGAAGGCUUGAGGAUGGGAGAGGCAUGCGGAAUUCCUGGUGUAGCGGUGAAAUGCGUAGAUAUCAGGAGGAACACCUGCGGUGUAGACAGCAUGCUGGACCAUUUCUGACGCUGAGGCACGAAAGCGUGGGUAGCAAACAGGAUUAGAUACCCUGGUAGUCCACGCCCUAAACGAUGCAUACUUGGUGUGAGCCAUUCAUUUGGUUCGUGCCGGAGCUAACGCGUUAAGUAUGCCGCCUGGGGAGUACGGUCGCAAGGCUG
rnacentral:rRNA from 1 species